rnacentral:rRNA from 1 species
CCUACGGGGGGCAGCAGUGAGGAAUAUUGGUCAAUGGACGGAAGUCUGAACCAGCCAUGCCGCGUGCAGGAAGACGGCUCUAUGAGUUGUAACCUCCUUUUGUACAAGGGUAAACCUGAAUACUUGUAUUCAGCUGAAAGUACUGUACGAAUAAGAAUGGGCUAACUCCGUGCCAGCAGCCGCGGUAAUACGGAGGAUCCAAGCGUUAUCCGGAUUUCUUGGGUUUAAAGGGUGCGUAGGCGGAUUGAUAAGUUAGAGGUGAAAUGGACGAGCUUAACUCGGGAACUGCCUCUAUAACUGUUGAUCUAGAGAGUAGAUGCGGUAGGCGGAAUGUAUGGUGUAGCGGUGAAAUGCUUAGAGAUCAUACAGAACACCGAUUGCGAAGGCAGCUUACCAAUCUAUAUCUGACGUUGAGGCACGAAAGCGUGGGGAGCAAACAGGAUUAGAUACCCUUGUAGUC